rnacentral:sRNA from 18 species
ACCGUAUCUAGCUCGACGGGGCGAAAAAUGGGAAACCUUACCUAUCUGAUACGGUAUUCUUUAAGG